rnacentral:rRNA from 1 species
AUACUAAUUGCCCGUAAGGCUUGUCCCUAUAACCUUGACGGUUAUAGUCAAUAACAAGCAUUUACCUGUGUUUGAGAUACCCCACUUUACUUCUUCCAGAUUCAGCAGUGUCGUUGCCCCAUCGGGAACGAGACUGUGUACAAGUCAUGCCUGAUGACCAUAGCAAGUCGGUCCCACCCCUUCCCAUCCCGAACAGGACCGUGAAACGACUUUGCGCCGAUGAUAGUGCUGCAACCAGUGUGAAAGUAGGUUAUCGUCAGGC